ensembl:snRNA U5 U5 spliceosomal RNA
AUACUCUGGUUCUCUUUAGAUCACAUAAAUCUUUCGCCUUUUACUAAAGAGAGGAACAGCUCUGAGCCUGAAACAAAAUUUUUGAGGCCUUGUUUUGGCAAGACU